rnacentral:lncRNA from 1 species
GUAAGGGCCUUUAGUCCCGGCUACGGAACCAGGGCUAAGGUUUCGGGACUAAAUGUCCCACCUUUAGUCCUGGUUCCGCGAGCCGUAGUCCCGGUUGGUAACAGUAACCGGGACUAAAAGGUGCGCCACGGUGUGCCACCUGGCCUCCACUUUUAGUCGCGGUUGGUGUUACCGAGUGGGACUAAAGAGUUUUUUCUUUUUUCAUUUUCUUUCCUUUUGGUUUUCCAUUUAGGGUUUACAAUUAUGUUAUUAUUAUUUUCGAAUGCGUAUUGUUUGCUGCUAAUUUAUAGAAACAGGCACCUAUAAUUUAUAUAAUUUAAAGCAUUACAUAUAAAUAUACUAUAAAGCACUAUAUAUAUAUUAUAUAUGUAUGUAUAUGUCCAUAAUAUAAUAUUUACAUAUAUGCAUCAUCGAUAAAUUAUUUACAACAAAAUUUAUCUCCGCCACUCAAGCAUCGUACAGAUGAUCAUCGUGAUUUGGUUUCAUUGGCUCCUCAGGGUUGAAGUAGCACUCGCCGCCGGGAUUCAGGACUUGGUCAUUAAGAAAUCCUGCGAUUGUCUCUUGAAUUCCUUUUAGGCGCACUGCAUCCAACACCUACUCCUUCAACCACAUCUCCUUUAAUAGACAUUAAAGAAAAAAGUUAGAGGUAUGAAUAAGAUUUAUUAAAUAGCAACAAAUAAAUGAAAUAAACUUAUUAUAUAUACAUGUUACAUACUUUUAGUUGCUCAAAAUUAGUUCUUUUGGCAUAGACCGUCAUAAACUUGCACACAUAGUAGGCACACAAAUUGUUGCCCAGUGUCUGUCGUAGAACCCACAGAAGUAAGAUAGGCUUUAAAAGUGGCGCUUUCAAAUCUGGACGGUGUUUGUGCAUGAACCUAUCCUAAACCCUAGCAAUAAAACAAUCAUUAUUAAUUAUCUAUUACCGAGUUAAAAGAGCAUAAUUUAAUAUUUAGAGAUCGGAGUUACCCUUGGAUAAUAUCUAUCAUUUCUUGGUAAUCUUCCUGUGGUUUUCUCAACGAGUCAUAGAUUACCAGUUGACAUUGACUG